rnacentral:other from 1 species
UGGUUACUAAGGUGUACGACGUUUCCCACUUAUGGUUGACCGAUCAAGUAAUACUAUAUUGGGUUGGCUAUGCUGUGACGGUGAGUAUGCCUUUUCACUAGGAAAUGAGCCAAGCAGCUAACCAAACCCACCCUGCUUUAUAUAUCAGCGGGUUCAACACAUCGGGAAAUUAUGCAACGGCACCACUAGUUGCCAC